GGUUCGAUGGCGGACGGUCCGCGCCUGCGCACAAUAUUGCUGGACCAAUUGAUAUCGCAGGAGGAGCCCGUUCGACUCGGGUUCGAGCCA